rnacentral:rRNA from 1 species
CCCCUAGAUGUUCUGGGCCGCACGCGCGCUACACUGAACAGUUCAACAAGUCUUAACCUUGGCCGAUAGGUCUGGGUAAUCUUUGAACGCUGUUCGUGAUUGGGAUAGACCUUUGCAAUUAUGGGUCUUCAACGAGGAAUUCCUAGUAAACGCAAGUCAUCAGCUUGCAUUGAUUACGUCCCUGUCCUUUGUACACACCGCCCGUCGCACCUACCGAUUGAAUGGUCCGGUGAAAUCUCGGGACGGCGGCUUGGUCGCUUGCGUCCGACUGCUGAAACUUGAUUAAACCAUAUCAUUUAGAGGAAGGUGAAGUCGUAACA